rnacentral:tRNA from 2 species
GCAUCAUUGGUCUAGUGGUAGAAUUCAUCGUUGCCAUCCACCGCUGUUUCAAACGGCGUUCGGAUUCGAUGAGGCCCGUGUUCGAUUCACGGAUGAUGCA